rnacentral:rRNA from 1 species
UACGUAGGGGGCUAGCGUUGUCCGGAAUCAUUGGGCGUAAAGAGCUUGUAGGCGGUUUGUCGCGUCUGCCGUGAAAAUUCGAGGCUCAACCUCGAACUUGCGGUGGGUACGGGCAGACUAGAGUGUGGUAGGGGAGACUGGAAUUCCUGGUGUAGCGGUGAAAUGCGCAGAUAUCAGGAGGAACACCGAUGGCGAAGGCAGGUCUCUGGGCCACUACUGACGCUGAGAAGCGAAAGCAUGGGGAGCGAACAGG